UCUGCUUCUGUCUCAAAUCAAGUCUUUCUCUCCCACAUUUUUCUCCACUCAAACAUAUGAAGGAGUUGAGGGGAAUGGUGUCUGGUUCGAGACCAUUCUUCUGAAGCAAAGAUCAUCAUCAUCACCCUUGAGAAUGAUCUCGGACCAGGCUUCAUUCCCCCUAGCUCAAAAAUUCAAUUGCCAAGUAACGUGUAAGUUCAAUGCCCUUUUCUCUUAAUCUUUUUCAUUAAAGUUCAUGUGUUUCUUUCUUAAAAUCUGCAGCAAAAAGACAUUAGAUCAUCACAUUAUCUGCUGGAAAACUCAAAGUUGACUUGAUUGACUUCGGUUUUAUUGUCUCUUUGAAAUAUGUUUGUCCAGCAUAUUGCAUAAUUGCUUUGAUCAAACAUAAAAUUUCCAUGUUUCAAAUA